rnacentral:tRNA from 1 species
UGACACCGGGCGGCACCGGCCGACGCGCGGGGGUCAGGAACCCCCGAGGUGCCGAGGGCCGCUCGGGUCGGCUGGUGCGGGC